UGACUGUUUUUGUUUUUGUUUUUGCUGAUGAUGUUGACUUUCAAGUGACAGCUACAGCAGGGUAUGACGUAUUUCACGCAUUAAAACAAUAAC